rnacentral:rRNA from 1 species
UACGUAGGUGGCAAGCGUUGUCCGGAUUUACUGGGCGUAAAGAGCGCGCAGGCGGUCGUUCAAGUCGCGUGUGAAAGCCCCCGGCUCAACUGGGGAGGGUCACGCGAUACUGAUCGACUCGAAGGCAGGAGAGGGUAGUGGAAUUCCCGGUGUAGAGGUGAAAUUCGUAGAUAUCGGGAGGAACACCAGUGGCGAAGGGCGGCUCUCUGGGCAGAUACUGACGCUGAGACGCGAAAAGCAUGGGGAGCAAACAGGGAUUAAGAAAACC